UGUGGAGGCGCGUCCCGGCCCUUUGCGUGUAGGGGAUGGAUCCGCAAUUAUAUUCAUGUUUUAAGCCCCGUUCUCUUGCAGCUUUUCGGCACUGCAAACUUAACCGCUAAUGGCGCUAUGGGUGGAGAAACGUUUGUUAGGCAACAACAGAAUUCUGCGAAACUUGGUUGGUUGCAGGAGUACACCAAAAAUAAAGUACCGGAGCGAGCACGGCUUCAAAAAAAUUAGCAUCAGUACCGCUAGCAGCGAACGCAUAAGAAGGGCUUCCUGGGUGAAAGUCACAGGAGAGACUGGAAAGGGAGGAAGAAAAGAAAAACAUUUUUCUCUUUGCUUCCAUGAAGCCACAAAGUGCUUUGAAUAGUGCCUGGCAUAAAGCUUGUUACAUCAUGGUUGCAGGAUGGGUGCUACAGCUCCGGACAUCACAUCAAAAUAUGGCAGAAGCUAAAGGAGGAAGAGAGAGAAGGAGGCAAAACAGCUUAAUUCACUUGUGGCUCUCAUAUGAAGAAUAAAGAUAUUUCCCGAAAACUUCUAGUGAAAUCCUUAUAUCUUAUUGGCCAGAACUGGCUUAAAUAAAUUAUGACUUGUUGUCUGGAGCUGGAUGCAUUGCUACCUAAACAAAACUGGAGUUCUGUUAGCAAGGAGGAAGAGUUUGUGGCAGGAAGGUAGGCAAUCACAUUCUCUGCCAUAAUUGAUAAAGUUCCUGUGAAACCUAGUGGCAGCCUA